GACGAACGCUGGCGGCGUGCUUAACACAUGCAAGUCGAACGGAAAGGCCCUGCUUUUGUGGGGUGCUCGAGUGGCGAACGGGUGAGUAACCCGUGAGUAACCUGCCCUUGACUUUGGGAUAACUUCAGGAAACUGGGGCUAAUACCGGAUAGGAGCUCCUGCUGCAUGGUGGGGGUUGGAAAGUUUCGGCGGUUGGGGAUGGACUCGCGGCUUAUCAGCUUGUUGGUGGGGUAGUGGCUUACCAAGGCUUUGACGGGUAGCCGGCCUGGGAGGGUGACCGGCCACAUUGGGACUGAGAUACGGCCCAGACUCCUACGGGAGGCAGCAGUGGGGAAUAUUGCACAAUGGUCGGAAGCCUGAUGCAGCAACGCCGCGUGCGGGAUGACGGCCUUCGGGUUGUAAACCGCUUUCGCCUGUGACGAAGCGUGAGUGACGGUAAUGGGUAAAGAAGCACCGGCUAACUACGUG
rnacentral:rRNA from 1 species